rnacentral:rRNA from 1 species
GAUGAACGCUGGCGGCGUGCCUAACACAUGCAAGUCGAACGGAGUCGUUUUGGAAAUCUCUUCGGAGAUGGAAUUCUCGACUUAGUGGCGGACGGGUGAGUAACGCGUGAGCAAUCUGCCUUUAAGAGGGGGAUAACAGUCGGAAACGGCUGCUAAUACCGCAUAAAGCAUUAAAUUCGCAUGUUUUUGAUGCCAAAGGAGCAAUCCGCUUUUAGAUGAGCUCGCGUCUGAUUAGCUGGUUGGCGGGGUAACGGCCCACCAAGGCGACGAUCAGUAGCCGGACUGAGAGGUUGAACGGCCACAUUGGGACUGAGACACGGCCCAGACUCCUACGGGAGGCAGCAGUGGGGAAUAUUGCGCAAUGGGGGAAACCCUGACGCAGCAACGCCGCGUGAUUGAAGAAGGCCUUCGGGUUGUAAAGAUCUUUAAUCAGGGACGAAACAAAUGACGGUAC